CUCUUGACCUCAGUUGAUCUGCCUGCCUCGGCCUCCCAAAGUGUUGGGAUUACAGGUGUGAGCCACUGCGCCUGGUCCCGUCUCGUAUACUUUAGAUCAUCUCUAGGUUAAUUAUAAUGCCUAGUACAAUGUAAAUGAUAUGUAAAUAGUCAUUAUACUGUACUAUUUGUAUUGUUAUAUUGUUAUUUUUCUCUAAAUAUUUUUGAUCCAUAGUUGGUUGAAUCCACGGAUGUUUGGAUCCAGCCCCUGGAUACGGAGGGCUGACUUUAAUCUUCCCCCAUCCUUAAGUAUCCUGUGAAGUUAUAAAUGAUGUGUGCCAUGUCUUACACCAGCAACUGUGCCCCCUUGGCCUGGGCACAUGUGGCAACUGUCCAUGCAUCAUGUUGUUUAGGUGAGCUUGCUGUUUCUGUCCCUACUGCUGUUGGCCCAACUAGGAAAUAUGAACUAGGUAAAUAAUUUUCAAAAAUCCAGACAUUAACUUAUUUGCCUCUGUAGGAGUCUUUUUUCCAGAGCUGAUGAUAACAAGACAGUUUCCUCUGCAGCUUCUUUCACCUGGCAUCUAUUUCACAGAGGAGGGAGAGGAGGGAAGGAAAUUGUAAUUCACAGUGAUGUUAUCAGCCAGCACCAUGCCUGGGAGAUCACCAGUGCAGGAGAGGUAUAAAAUGCUCCAGGGGCAAGGUUCUGAGAAGAUGCCCUGCCACUGUAUGAGGCCACAACCUGCUGUGUAUAACCUCAUCUAAGCACAGAGAAGCACCAGGUGAACCCAAGUGGAAAGUAGUCUAUUAAAAAGGGGUUAGGGGCCCUCUGCAUCCCUCCAAAAUGUCAAUGUCAUCAAAAAUUUUAAAAGACUCUGGAAACGUUCCAGAUUUAAGAAAGCUAAAGAAACAUCACAGCCCUAGGCUGGGUCCAGUCUGGGAGUGGAAAAAAUGCUGUGAGGAUAUUACUGACUCAAGUGAUAAAACUGGAAUAAAUGGGUUAAAGUACGGUAUCAAUAUUGAUAACUACAAUUAUGUUAGAGAGUCCCAUAUUCUUGGGAAAUAUACACUGAAGUAUUUAGGGGUAAAGGAGUAUGAUGAACUUAUUGGCAAAUGCUUUAGAAACAGCCAUCGUACUUGUAUAUAAUAUUUAUGUAAGUAUGUGUUUUACACAGGAAGACUGAGCGUGGGAAAUGAUAAAGCAAACUGUGGACUUGAAUGAAAGACAUACAGAAGAAGGUCCUCACCAGAUGCCAGCCCCUUGAUCUUGG
rnacentral:lncRNA from 1 species